rnacentral:rRNA from 1 species
GAAGAACGCUAGCGGCAGGCCUAAUACAUGCAAGUCGAACGGUGUCUUCGGACAUAGUGGCGCACGGGUGCGUAACACGUAUGCAUCCUACCUUACAUUGGGGGAUCGUCUUUCGAGAGGGAGAUUAAUACUGCAUAAGACAGUGACUGGGCAUCCAGUAGAUGCUAAAGACUUAUCGAUGUAAGCUGGGCAUGCGUCCAAUUAGUUAGUUGGUGAGGUAAUGGCUCACCAAGACGAUGAUGGGUAGGGGAACUGAGAGGUCAAUCCCCCACACUGGCACUGAGAUACGGGCCAGACGCCGACGGGAGGCAGCAGUAGGGAAUAUUGGGCAAUGGGCGCAAGCCUGACCCAGCCAUGCCGCGUGCAGGAAGAAGGCGUUCUGCGUUGUAGACUGCUUUUAUAUAGGAAGAAACGGCCCUUGCGAGGGACAUUGACGGUACUAUAUGAAUAAGCACCGGCUAACUCCGUGCCAGCCGCCGCCGUAAUAC